GGGUAACAUAUGUCUAGUAUAUAUAUAUAGUAGAGUUACUAUUGCGGAACAUGCAUGUUUGUGGAACAGCUCGUCGAAAUUAGUUAAAAUCUACUUAAUUUUGAAAUUUUCUUCUAAACUACUGUAACGAGAUUGGGUCUCAAACAAAGAAAUUCUAUACUGGGACUCGACUACUUCAUGAGAUUGUGUUCGAGCGUUUGUGGGACAUGUCUAGCUCCGAUAGAAUGGAUUAUGCAUUCCAAGAGUUGCGAUGACAUAGAGACAAAUACGAGGAAAGCGCAAACAGGGACGUGAUCGUAGGCGCCACACUUUCAUGGAGGACCUUAAAGCAGUAGGCCUAGACACCAGAGCAAAGCAGCAGCCCACACUGGUGAUGGAUAGGUCACACUCUUUGCAAGCCCUCACCUGGAACCCCAAAGGAAAGAGGAAGAGGGGAUGACCCAGAAAUCACAUGAUGCAGCGAUUUGGAAGCAGAUAGAAAAAUGGUAUAAUUGGAGAAACUUACCCUGAACCAAGAUGCCUGGAGGAAGCUGGUUGGUGGCCCACAUACGAAACCAAAGGCAGAGAUGAGAUGUCCAUCACACCAAUGGAUUCAGUAUUUCAUAAUAGAACCCUUGUUAAAAAAAAAAAUGAAACCCCAAAACAAAAACAGUGAUGUUUAUAGACUUAAGUGAGAACCAAUGUGUUUGAAUAUCUGAUUAACAUAAAGGACAAAAGAUGAAUCAUAUAAAAGUUAUUUUUCUUUAAAAAAAAAA
rnacentral:sRNA from 1 species